rnacentral:tRNA from 1 species
UGUUCUGUAGCUUAGAUGGGUAAAGCGCUAGGACUAGCGAUACGGAAUCGUGGGUCUGAAUCCCACCAAAACAG